AGGAACAGAUGAGUUUUAUACUGCAGUGAACCUAGCCUACUCCCUUUUGCACACUGUUGUGAAGAUCCCACAGACUCAAGAUGCAAGAUGGACACAUCCGUACGGCAGAGGGAUGAGUGAGUGAUGGCCAUCCAGCGAGCAACGGGGAUGUCCUGGCUCGAAGGCAGGCAUGUGUGUGAUUAAGGGAUAUACAUGCAUGGCUCCAGGAUUUACUUCCUUCCCAUCCCACAGAGUUACUGAAGGGAGUGAGUUAUGGGAUAAUUUAUAACACGGCAGGCCCUUCCUCAAGACAGUCCUCAUCAAAACAGGAAGAUGAAACUCAAGUUUCAACAAAGAGACCCCAGCUUGGGAUACCGUCUGGACAUAACUCCUAAUUACAAGCAGAAAAGUCUUCCUACUUUUUCAUUUCCAACUCCUGUGCCCCCAAACAGAUGUCUGCUUUAAGAUGGAGCUAUGUAGGGGAGCCCUUCCACUAUUCUCUGAGCUCUCCUUGUGGAUGUGGAUGUUUUAACAUCUUCAGCCUCAGACUUGGUGUCAGUCUUACCAACUUAAGGUCACAGCCCAUAGUUGAAGAAGUUGUUACUUAACACACAGGCAGUGGGUUCAGGUGCCCAAGAGUCCAGAGGUGUCAGAUUCUCCUGAAGCCAAUGUUACUGCCUGAUGUGAACACUGGGAAUCAAACCUGGGUCCUCUCAGUAUGUGCUCUUAAUCACUGAGCCAUCUCUUUCAGCCCUAGUUUUCAGGACCUGCUUCCAAGUAGCACAUGGCAGUUGCUAUCAACUCAGGCUGUCCCUUGAAGAUUUCUCUCUGCCUUGUUUGAGAUGAACUUGAUGGUUUUGAGGAGACCUCAGCAGCAGUCACUCAGAUCUUUGGAAGAAAAGGCAUACAGAAGUACAAGAAGAAAGACAUAGAGAAAACCAUCCUAGCUGACGACCAACAAAGUCUUUAAGAAGCACUAAUCAUGAGCUCUUAGAGUUGACCAGAACAAUGGCUUGAAAAAGAGAAGAAAAAUGAAGUUGAAACUCCAUCCAGAAGGAGACUUCUGGCUUCCUCCUGACAUCUCUAGAACCAUUACAUGAUCUGAUAAAAAGCUAGGACUAUGUGAAUGUCAGUGCCUGUAUCAACAUUGCAUAGGUAGUAGAGGCUUCCAGACAGCCAACAUGUGUUGGCUAUUGUCGUGGGGUUUGUCCUGAUACUAUGUCCUUAAUAUCUCUAUGUAUGCAAUCAAACUUCUACCUAGACAAUCCUAGUAACAGUUGAAUCAUGAAAAAGUGACUUGGGCACCUUAAACAUCCAAGUGCUGCUUGCACUUCCUCUUGAGAUGGUGCCAGGAGAACAUCAAAGCACAGGAGCAGAGAGAUCAUGGCCUCCAAACAAACAUGUACCUACAAUUGACUUCAGGUGACAAACUGGCAUCCCUGUCCAAGAGCAGGUAGCUGAGGGGAAAAAGAAGAAAGAACAGCACAGAGUUGCAGUCUUCCUCCCAUGCUCAGGAAUUGCCACCAGCGCCAUGACAUCGGGCCUCCUCUUGUUUGCUUCUGGAAACCAUAUGUGUACUCUUUUUGUAACGGUUUGGCUAUGGUUGUUAGCUCCUCUUGAACAUUGUUUUUAGAUCUUAAAAAAAUGUUGCUUCAAGUGUUAUCAAGAUGCAUUUAAAAUAAAAAUACCCUCCUCACAUUUAGUAUGAAGUUGAUUCUUGCAAUUUCUUUAGUCAAAACUCUUUUUAUUGAUCGAUUUUACUCUGAUGAAUUCAUAUAGUGUGUUUUGGUUAUUCUCACCUCCCCCCCCAACUCUCUUAUCUCCUUUCCAGCCCUGUUACCCUUCCUCCUCAUCCCUACGGGUCCAUUUCACACAUUCAUGUCUCUCUGUUUUAUGAACCAUUGAUUUUAACCAGGGCCAUCAGUGUUACCGUGGGUUUGGAAUUAUCCACUGGAGCUUGGUUGGCUCAAAGUAAAGAUAAUGAUUUUCCCUUCCCCCAAAUCCACCAUAGCCCCAUAAGGCCCCUCCCCAAUCCAUGACUGACUGUUGGAAAGCCUAAUCUUGUACAAGUCAGUGCAGGCCCCCUCAGCUGCUGUUAGAUCAUGUCCUGGAAGUAGCAGCAUUUUGCAGACUUUGUCCCUGUCCAUUUCCACUUCUACUAUGUUCCCCGAGCCUCAGAUGGGGUAGUGUAAAUGUUCUGUCAACCUGUCCAGUCUGUAGUAUAUGAAUUUACUUAGAUGAAACAAAGAUAGUAAUCAAUGGGAAACCUAUUCUAAGCCCUGCACAUGCUACAAAAAAUACAGAGAAUAACAAAAAUUAACCAGUACUGUAUAAACUCAAGGUCAUUGUUCUGUGUCGGUGUUAGUAGUGUAUCUGUUCCCAAGGUUUUGUAUCACUGUUAAGUUAGACAUGAUCCACUCUUAUUUGCUGUACAGUGAAUCACAUUGCCAACAAAAUUGAAAAAAUAAAACAGGAUAUAAAGAAUAUAAAGGGGGUGUACUCUGUAAGACAGUUGCAAACCACUUAUGGGAAUCAGUGCAUGGCAAAACAAUAGAGACCAUCUAAUCUCUGCUCAUUCAUAUUUAAUGUGGCAGAGGUUAUGGCUUAUAGUUUUGACCUAGAAUCCUUGAGAGCUGGGGUGUGUGUCUUUGCUGUUUUGUCCUAUCCAGUUAAAGAAAAUUAGCAAUCAAUACACGUCUGUAACUGAGGUCUUUGGUAGAUGGGUGUUGUUAUAAUUGGGAAAUAGGUGGAAUAUUAUGUGUAGAGGUUUCCCUUUUUGUAUGUUUGCAUAACUGUGUGUUGCUUUCCAUGUGAGCUCUUUAUCCACAAUAUAACAUCUAACUGAGUUAACAUACUAGGCAGGGUAGAGGGAAGAAUUCUGCUAGAUUGUCUUAAAUAGUAUUUUCUGUUGAUGUUGUGUUCUGCAACUGACCAGUUGUGAAUAACCCAAUGUAUGUGCUUCUUUGAGUGGUGCAUAUCAGAUAAAGUUUCUCCAUUUUGUUUCAGAAUCUUGUUUUUUCAAUAAUGCUUCAGUGGACUAUACAGAAUCUCCACCAGCCACACAACUUUCUCAGAGUGUUGAAAGUGGUAUUGGUAUUUUAUAUGAAAUUUAUUUUCAAAAUCAGACCAGUAGAAUACUGCACCUUUGAUUCUCAAAUUGUUCUGCAGUUCUUUUUAUGUUUGUGUGAUUGGAGUCUUGGCACUCAGUUCUCCUAGCCUCUAUCCACUAAUUGUCAACAACAAAAGGGUAUACAAUGAAUAAACCUGUAUUUUUGUGUUUC